CAGUAGCCGCGGGAAUACGAAGGGUGCAAGCGUUAAUCGGAAUUACUGGGCGUAAAGCGUGCGCAGGCGGUUCGCUAAGACAGAUGUGAAAUCCCCGGGCUUAACCUGGGAACUGCAUUUGUGACUGGCGGGCUAGAGUAUGGCAGAGGGGGGUAGAAUUCCACGUGUAGCAGUGAAAUGCGUAGAGAUGUGGAGGAAUACCGAUGGCGAAGGCAGCCCCCUGGGCCAAUACUGACGCUCAUGCACGAAAGCGUGGGGAGCAAACAGGAUUAGAUACCCGGGUAGUCCCUGUCUCUUAUAA
rnacentral:rRNA from 1 species